CGGGGGGGGCAAGCGUUGUUCGGAAUUACUGGGCGUAAAGGGCUCGUAGGUGGCCAACUAAGUCGGACGUGAAAUCCCUCGGCUUAACCGGGGAACUGCGUCCGAUACUGGUUGGCUUGAGUUUGGGAGAGGGAUGCGGAAUUCCAGGUGUAGCGGUGAAAUGCGUAGAUAUCUGGAGGAACACCGGUGGCGAAGGCGGCAUCCUGGACCAAUACUGACGCUGAGGAGCGAAAGCCAGGGGAGCAAACGGGAUUAGAUACCCCGGUAGUCCUGGCCCUAAACGAUGAAUGCUUGGUGUGGCGGGUAUCGAUCCCUGCCGUGCCGAAGCUAACGCAUUAAGCAUUCCGCCUGGGGAUACGGUCGCAAGGCUG
rnacentral:rRNA from 1 species